CAUAAGGAAAAGUCACAAUGAGUUUUUUCCAGGCCGCGUUGAUUGCUAUUUUCUGCUGUAUUGUUGGCAAUUCGUGCUCAAACCAGUUGGCCUAAAAUAUCUAUUGUGUUCACUGUCUGUGCAUAUAUGUAUUCAGUCUUCUGACCAUCUUUGGAAGUAUUGGAUUAUUGAUACUCCUUGUAGUAGAGGCCUUGUAGGAGGCUGAUACCGAUUUAGUCAUAAUUAGUCUAUAGUGAUAAAUUAUAGUUGUUUUUUUUAUGAGGUACAUGUAUCAUUAUUUUGUGUCAAUAAGUCAAUGAUGUAAAAUGUU